rnacentral:rRNA from 1 species
GACGAACGCUGGCGGCGGGCUUAACACAUGCAAGUCGAACGGUGAAGCUCUAGCUGCUUGGAGUGGAUCAUUGGCGAACGGGUGAGUAACACGAGAGCAACCUGCCCUACACUUUCGAAUAAGCUCUGGAAGCGGCGCCUAAUACUGGAUACGAGAAGGCUCCGCAUGGGAACCUUCUGAAAAGCGUUUCUGGUGGGGCUGGGCUCGCGGCUUAUCAGCUUGUUGGUGAGGUAAUGGCAGCCCAAGGGGGCGACGGAUAGCCGGCCUGGGAGGGGGAACGGGCACCAUGGGCCUGCGAGACGGACCAGACUCCUACGGUAGGCAGCAGUGGGGAAUAUUGCACAGUGGGCGCGAGCCUGAUGAAGAGACGCCGCGUGAGGGAUGACGGCCUUCGGGUUGUAAAAAUCUUUAAGCAGGGAAGAAGCGAAAGUGACGGUACCUGCAGAAGAAGCACCGGCUAACUACGUG